rnacentral:rRNA from 1 species
AACAAACGCUGGCGGCGUGCCUAACACAUGCAAGUCGUACGAGAAAGGGUCCUUCGGGGCCUGAGUAAAGUGGCGCACGGGCGAGUAACGCGUGGAUAAUCUGCCCUUCAGUUGGGAAUAACUCAUCGAAAGGUGGGCUAAUACCGAAUAAUGCUGUGAGACCUCGGUUGAUCAGCCAAAGAGAGCCUCUGCUUGCAAGCCCUCGCUGAAGGAUGAGUCCGCGUACCAUUAGCUAGUCGGUAGGGUAAUGGCCUACCAAGGCGACGAUGGUUAGCUGGUCUGAGAGGAUGGUCAGCCACACUGGAACUGAGACACGGUCCAGACUCCUACGGGAGGCAGCAGUGAGGAAUCUUGCGCAAUGGGGGCAACCCUGACGCAGCAACGCCGCGUGAGUGAGGAAGGUCUUCGGAUCGUAAAGCUCUGUCGGAUGGAAAGAACCGCAUAGGGGUAAACAGCCCCUGUGUCUGACGGUACCAUCAAAGGAAGCACCGGCUAACUCCGUGCCAGCCGCCGCGGUAACAC